GAUGAACGCUGGCGGCGUGCCUAAUACAUGCAAGUCGAGCGAACGGACGAGAAUCUUGCCUCUCUGCUGUUAGCGGCGGACGGGUGAGUAACACGUGGAUAACCUACCUAUAAGACUGGGAUAACUUCGGGAAACCGGAGCUAAUACCGGAUAAUAUUUUGAACCGCAUGGUUCAAAAGUGAAAGACGGUUUUGCUGUCACUUAUAGAUGGAUCCGCGCUGCAUUAGCUAGUUGGUAAGGUAACGGCUUACCAAGGCAACGAUGCAUAGCCGACCUGAGAGGGUGAUCGGCCACACUGGAACUGAGACACGGUCCAGACUCCUACGGGAGGCAGCAGUAGGGAAUCUUCCACAAAGGGCGAAAGCCUGACGGAGCAACGCCGCGUGAGUGAUGAAGGUCUUCGGAUCGUAAAACUCUGUUAUUAGGGAAGAACAUAUGUGUAAGUAACUGUGCACAUCUUGACGGUACCUAAUCAGAAAGCCACGGCUAACUACGUG
rnacentral:rRNA from 1 species